GAUGAACGCUGGCUACAGGCUUAACACAUGCAAGUCGAGGGGAAACGACGGGGAAGCUUGCUUCCCCGGGCGUCGACCGGCGCACGGGUGAGUAACGCGUAUCCAACCUGCCUCUGACUGAGGGAUAACCCGUCGAAAGUCGGCCUAAUACCUCAUGGCAUCGUCUGCGGGCAUCCAACGACGAUUAAAGAUUUCAUCGGUCAGGGAUGGGGAUGCGUCUGAUUAGCUAGUUGGCGGGGUAACGGCCCACCAAGGCGACGAUCAGUAGGGGUUCUGAGAGGAAGGUCCACCACAUUGGAACUGAGACACGGUCCAAACUCCUACGGGAGGCAGCAGUGAGGAAUAUUGGUCAAUGGGCGAGAGCCUGAACCAGCCAAGUAGCGUGCAGGAUGACGGCCCUAUGGGUUGUAAACUGCUUUUAUGCGGGGAUAAAGUGAGGGACGUGUCCUUCAUUGCAGGUACCGCAUGAAUAAGGACCGGCUAAUUCCGUG
rnacentral:rRNA from 1 species